CUGGGGAUAUACUCAACUGGUAGAGUGUUUGCCUCACAUGCACAAGGCCCUGGGUUCAACCCCCAGCACCACA
rnacentral:tRNA from 1 species